rnacentral:rRNA from 1 species
UAGGGAAUCUUGCGCAAUGGGCGAAAGCCUGACGCAGCCAUGCCGCGUGAAUGAUGAAGGUCUUAGGAUUGUAAAAUUCUUUCACCGGGGAAGAUAAUGACGGUACCCGGAGAAGAAGCCCCGGCUAACUUCGUGCCAGCAGCCGCGGUAAUACGAAGGGGGCUAGCGUUGCUCGGAAUUACUGGGCGUAAAGGGCGCGUAGGCGGAUACUUAAGUUAGAGGUGAAAGCCCAGGGCUCAACCCUGGAAUAGCCUUUAAUACUGGGUAUCUUGAGUUCGGGAGAGGUGAGUGGAACUCCGAGUGUAGAGGUGAAAUUCGUAGAUAUUCGGAAGAACACCAGUGGCGAAGGCGACUCACUGGCCCGAUACUGACGCUGAGGCGCGAAAGCGUGGGGAGCAAACA